UACAGAGGGGGCAAGCGUUAUUCGGAAUUAUUGGGCGUAAAGGGCGCGUAGGCGGCUUGGCAAGUGGAUGGUGAAAUCCCUCGGCUUAACCGAGGAACUGCCGUCCAAACUGCUUAGCUUGAGACCGGGAGAGGUGAGUGGAAUUCCCAGUGUAGCGGUGAAAUGCGUAGAUAUUGGGAGGAACACCAGUGGCGAAGGCGGCUCACAGGACCGGAACUGACGCUGAUGCGCGAAGGCCAGGGGAGCAAACGGG
rnacentral:rRNA from 1 species